rnacentral:rRNA from 1 species
UGGGGAAUCAUGGUCAAUGGGCGAAAGCCUGAACCUGCGACGCCGCGUGAGUGAUGAGGGUCGUAAGAUCGUAAAACUCUUUUCAGGGAUCUUAAAGCCUGUCUGUCAACAACAGGCAGGUCUGACUCUCCCUGGCAGAAGCCCCAGCCAACUACGUGCCAGCAGCUGCGGUAAUACGUAGGGGGCGAGCGUUAUUCGGAAUUACUGGGUGUAAAGGGUAUGUCGGCGGCCCUUCCAGUCGCGUGUCAAAGUCCAGUGCUCAACGCUGGGGGUGCGCGCGAAACGGACGGGCGUGAGGGCUGGAGAGGUGAGCGGAAUUCCCGGUGUAGUGGUAAAAUACGUAGAGAUCGGGAGGAACACCAGCGGCGCAGGCGGCUCACUAGACAGUUUCUGACGCUAAGAUACGAAAGCGUGGGGAGCAAACA